rnacentral:lncRNA from 1 species
UGAGAACAUGCGUUGUUUGGUUUUUGGUCCUUGCGAUAGUUUGCUGAGAAUGAUGGUUUCCAGCUUCAUCCAUGUCCCUACAAAGGACAUGAACUCAUCAUUUUUUAUGGCUGCAUAGUAUUCCAUGGUGUAUAUGUGCCACAUUUUCUUAAUCUAGUCUGUCAUUGUUGGACAUUUGGCUUGGUUCCAAGUCUUUGCUAUUGUGAAUAGUGCCACAAUAAACAUACGUGUGCAUGCUCACACAGAUACUUUUUAACAACAUGACCACUUUCUAAGUUCAUUACCCUUUGAAACAAAAUAAAACAAAACUCAGCUACACCAUUUCUAAACAAAGGUGUAAAAAAAAAAUUGAAGAUCCAGUUAGCUAAGGAAGCCACUAAAAGAGUUGGAACAAAAGGCUCUCUCCAAAUGGCUAUGAAUUUAAGCCUUUAUAAUUCAUAAAGAACAUAUGAAUUCAGGAAGAAAAAUGUGCAGUUUAUAGUUUUAUAUAGCAUUAACCCUGGAAGUUGCUCUCAGAUCUUAAAAGUCUUCAAACUCUUCUGUUACUUUUACAUAUGAAGAUAGCAACGUAUUUGGUUGAUGAUGGCUAAGAAAACAUCUGGCACAGCCAUAUUAACAAGGGAAUAGUUUGUUUUACGACAGAAGAGGAAGCUUCUGUUCUCGGCUAAGAGCCAUGUCCUCAGAUACCAUGGCAAUAAAUGGAAAGCUUGUCAGUAAGUGGUUGCCUCUUUGUCUUAAAUUUUUAAGCAGUUUAGUAGUUAGCUCCAAAUUAGGAAAUUAACUGGCAAUCAAAGCAUUGGAGCAGGAAAACCCAUUAUAGCUCUUCCAAAUCUCCAAAAAAAAAAAAAAAAAAAAAAAGGUUAGCAUUACGAUAACUCUUUGUAGGAAGAGGAAUACAGCAGGGCGCGGUGGGUCAUGCCUAUAAUUCCAGCACUCUGGGAGGCUGAGGUGAGCAGAUCACUUGAGACUAGGAGUUCCAGACCAGCCUAGGCAACGUGGCAAAACCCUGCCUCUACUAAAAAUGCAACAACAACAACAAAACUAGCCGGGUGUGGUGGCGUGUGCCUGUGGUCCCAGCUACUCAGGACGCGGAGGUGGGAGAAUCACCUGUGACCAGGGAGGUUGAGGCUGCAGUGAGCCAAGAGUGCGCCACCACACUCCAGCCGGGGUGACAGAGUGAGAACCUGUCUCAAAACAAACAAACAAACAAAAAAAAUUAGAAGAAUUGAAAGAAUUGACUGGUAGAUGGAAACAUGCUGGAAUCUGUUGGCUUGCUUGCAGGUAUAGGGGCCUCAAAAGGUAUCUCCCCAUUUAGAACCUUUGUGUUUGUUUUACCAGUGGCUUUAAUUAUUUCUCAGCUCAACCCCACUGCUUCCCUAAACACUGGAUAGUAGUGGAAUAGCUUAGUGGUGACAUCUUAUAGGCCCAAGAAUAGAAAUAGCACCGGAUCAGUUAACUAAGAACAAAAUGUCAUUCACAUACAUCUUGCUGAGAUGGUGAAGAAUAUUCUCCCUUUCUUCGGCUUUCCUAUAUUUCUUUAGGAGACCUCUUGUACUGUGGUAAAUUGUCAACAUAUCUCAUGUAGUUAUUCUCAUGCAUGCCAUCUUCCUGAACAGCAACAGAUACUGUGAGGCAGGAACUGUGCCUUAUACUUUCUCCCCCACAGUGCCUAGGAGAAUGUCUUGUACACAGUAGGUUUUCAGUAAAUGAAAACUGGAUACAUUUUAGGAAUCAAGCCAAGGGAGUGGCCAGCUGUAGCAACGAUCAAUGUGGCUCAACUACACUCAAGAGUAUCCCAUCUUCAGGACAAAGGACAGUCAAUCUUGAGCCAUUCUGAACUGAUUAUCAUACUCCUAAGUAUCAUUGAUUUCAUUUGGCAUUUUCAGUGAAGAUGUGGGCUUUUUAUUUAUCUCUGGAAUAUUCCAUCCAGAGUAUUUGGGUUUACUUAUAGCAAAAAAAAAAAAAAAAUUCAUUUAAAAACUGUUUAUCAAACAUGAGAGCAAAAUGUAUUAUGUACUCAAGAUGGUGAUUUUUAAAUUUUUUCGAUUUCAUUUUAACUAUUGUUGAAGCCAUCCACUGGGAG